rnacentral:rRNA from 1 species
GACGAACGCUGGCGGCGUGCUUAACACAUGCAAGUCGAACGCUGAAGCUUGGUGCUUGCGCUGGGUGGAUGAGUGGCGAACGGGUGAGUAAUACGUGUGUAACCUGCCCUUGACUCUGGGAUAAGCCUGGGAAACUGGGUCUAAUACUGGAUACGACAUGUCACCGCAUGGUGGUGUGUGGAAAGGGUUUUACUGGUUUUGGAUGGGCUCACGGCCUAUCAGCUUGUUGGUGGGGUAAUGGCUCACCAAGGCGACGACGGGUAGCCGGCCUGAGAGGGUGACCGGCCACACUGGGACUGAGACACGGCCCAGACUCCUACGGGAGGCAGCAGUGGGGAAUAUUGCACAAUGGGCGGAAGCCUGAUGCAGCGACGCCGCGUGAGGGAUGACGGCCUUCGGGUUGUAAACCUCUUUCAGCACGGAAGAAGCGAAAGUGACGGUACGUGCAGAAGAAGCGCCGGCUAACUACGUG